GAUGAACGCUAGCGGCAGGCCUAACACAUGCAAGUCGAGGGGUAACAUAGGAAAGCUUGCUUUUCUGAUGACGACCGGCGCACGGGUGCGUAACGCGUAUACAACCUACCUUUUAGCGGGGAAUAGCCCAGGGAAACUUGGAUUAAUGCCCCAUAGUAUAUAGACUUCUCCUGAAGUUUAUAUUAAACAUUUAUGGCUAUUAGAUGGGUAUGCGUCCUAUUAGUUAGUUGGUAAGGUAACGGCUUACCAAGGCAGCGAUAGGUAGGGGUCCUGAGAGGGAGAUCCCCACACUGGUACUGAGACACGGACCAGACCCCUACGGGAGGCAGCAGUGAGGAAUAUUGGACAAUGGGCGAGAGCCUGAUCCAGCCAUGCCGCGUGCAGGAAGACUGCCCUAUGGGUUGUAAACUGCUUUUACAGAGGAAGAACCACCCCCACGUGUGGGGGUUUGACGGUACUCUGCGAAUAAGGAUCGGCUAACUCCGUG
rnacentral:rRNA from 1 species